GCGUACUUCAAGUCUUCCAUUGCGACAUUCAUGACAGCUGCAUCUUGGGUAUUCUCCAAGUCACUCCACGUGACCUUUUUAGGAGUGCUGCUUUUCUUCCUGGCUUGUCUGACCUUUCUGCGCUUUGCGUUGCCAACCUCAGUGUUCUGGAGCUCGUACUCGGACUCGUUCAAAGACAUCAAAGUUUCAAAGCUCUGCCCAGGUGUUGGAGGAGACAAAGAGAGCGAGCUGGAGUCCAUUUGGCGCUUCAGUGGUUGCGAAGGUGUCGGCAUGCUGGCAGGAAUGAUAUCAUUGGAGUCGAUCUGGCAGCUCUCCUGGACUGCAGCUGGCCUCAGGAAAGUGUGGACCACCGACUCCUGGCUCUUUUCAAUUAUAUCCUCGUCCAUUUCCUCACACAGCUGUGAUUUCUGUUCACCCGAACCUUGAUCAUUUGAUUGAGUGCUGCUUUCCAAGACUUGUCUGAUGGGGGAAAAUGAGGUUUGGCAAAGGACAGAUUGUCCCUGAUUUUCCUUUGUUAUUAAAGUUCCAUCAGCAGGAAAGGUUUCAGCUUGAGACAUGUGCAGGGGGCUUGUCUGAACAGCUGCAUCACACACUUGCUUACGUCUGGAAAAAUUUUUACUUAUAAAUUAAAUUAAUUUAUUUAGUUACCAUACUUACGCAAAUUUCAAUUUCUGUCUUACAACUAAUGGGUUCAAGUAGCCAAGCUUGAAGAAAUUAACUUCGUACUUUCUCGUGGAAUGCCCUUUCAAUUUUCCAAAUCUAUGGAAGCAAACAAGUCGAGACUCUGUAAAUGGAAUAUAAUAUUAAGUUCUAAUGCAAAAAGUAUUUACAAAUUGUAUAUUUUACUGGCAGUUGUUUUCUUUUUGAUGGGUAGGAUUUCUACGACAUGCUGUCUCUGACUCGUCAGACUAUUUCCCACAAUGUCCCCUGUGUUGGACUCGAGAGAAAAUGUCUUCCUUUUCCUGUUGCCAGUUUUUGAAUCUAGACUGAUUGGUUCUGGAGCAGGACGGAUGAAAGUUGGCGUGGGCACCUCAACAGGUUUCUCUAGAGCCUGCAGACUGAUAAUGGGGGGAAGCGAAUUUUCAAUCAGAUUGGUGCUGGCCUGAGUGUCAUCCUUCUGCUCAUCCGCAGUCUUCUGGUCAGAUUUGUCACUGGGCCGGAUGAAAGUUGGCGUUGUUAGCGUGGGCACCUCAACAGGUCUCUCUAUAAUGGGGGGAAGCGAAUUUUCAAUCAGAUUUGUGCUAGUCUGAGUGUCAUCCUUCUGCUCAUCCGCUGUCUUCUGGUCAGAUUUUUCACUGGCCGUCUCAAUGAUCAUUUCAUUUCUGUCUGGGGAUUUCUUCUGGGACUUUUCAGUUUGGACGGCGUUGAGGCCAGAAGUGGUGCUUAUGUUCAGUGGGACGAUUUUCCUUUUCUCCUUGAACUCGGACUUCAUCCUCGAGUACCGAGAAAAUCCCGGAGACGGAGUUUUCUUUUUGGUCGGACUGCCUUGGGGAGACGAAUCUUCAAUGAUUCCCACCGGCUCAAGUACUUCUUCUGACUGCAGCAGACUUUGCUCUUGUGGGGAUUCCCCUGCACCAUUUUCAAUGUCUUUGGCCUGCUUCUUUUUGUUGUUGUACUGCCGAGAUGGCUUCCUCUUUUCUGCGGAAUCCAAAAAGUCUGCCAGUUCAACGGUUGCAGGGGGUUGGCUAGGCUCCUUCUCUUCUUCACUGUCAUACUUAAUAGGCAAGAUUUUCUUCUUCCGAAGGCCAAAUCCUUUGAACUUUGGUUUCUCUGAGGAUUGACUGUCGAUUUUCUUCAGCCGUUUCUCUUCCUUUUUGCUCUGAAAUUCUUCAGAUUGCGACUGAAACAGUUCAGCAUCUCUGGUCGGUUCUGAUUCGAUUGACUUGUUAGCUUCGAAUGUGAUUUUCUUAACAUUCCUCGCCAUCAAAAUCGAGUCUGCCUGACUUUCUUCAACCUGUGUCGUUUCCCCACUUGUAGCUUUUUUGGGAAUUGUGGGCGGAGGUUUAAACCGGGCAAUUUCGUUCAAGUCCGCUUGUGUGGGAGAAAUGAGAGUCGAAAUUGAGCUUGGAGUUUCAAUUGUUUUGUCUUGGGUGGGGAUGGCACCAGACUUUGUUUGUUCAAGCCAAAAUUGGACCUUUUCGUCAGGGUUGAUGCUGUACUGAGAAAUCACCGAUGAUUCAUUCGGAAACUGUGUUGGCAUCCUCGUAGUCGAGGGCUUGAUCAAUUCAAAAAUGUUUGUAGAGCCUGUUGAGGGGUUGGACAUUUGAGGAGCCCCGUCACCAGUUUUCCCUGCAGUCAUCGACCUUCGUGUUGUGCGCUGAGCUGAAGUCGACGGUGUUGGAGUAAUUGAAGCCAUUUUCUCUAUAGGCACUUUGCUUUUAGCUGGAAAUGGACCAAAUAUUAGAAAUAUUAAAUUUUACAAUAAAAAUAAAAUAGAAACCUUCUGCUGGCAAGUUGCGUUCACACUGAAUGAGAAUAUUCUGCAGGUGUUCGUAGAACAAGGUGAUGGACUUGUUGAUGAUCACUUUUUCCUUGGAGCAAUUUGACAAGCACUUUGGACACUGCGGAGUUUUGGCCAGGUGCUUUGUAAUGCAGGGGCGACAGAAGGUAUGGCCACAUUCUAUGCAAGCAACCUUUUUCAUUCUGUUGUUGCUAAAAAAAUUACAUAAUUCUUUAUUUUUUAUUCAAGAGGAUAAAAGUGUAAUUAAUGUACCAAAUGUAGCAAGUGCUUCGCUCCACAAGUUGGUCGUAAUUUUGCUUGAGCAAACUCAUCUCGCUCUCAUUCAGCGAAGUUUUUGCCUGUUUUUUCACCAUUUUCCUCGCAAACUCCGACCACUCUAUGAAGACAGAAAGAGAGAUACAUAAAAGACAAAAAAAUUAGAGAAAGCUUUUUGUCAUUAUAUGCUUAUUAUGUAAUGUGAUUAAAAUUUAACACAAAUAAUAGACAAAAUUGCACGUACAGUUCAUUAAAAUAUUCUCUUCUUCAACUGCGAAUGUUAUGAUGGCUCAAAAUUUCGCUGAAACUCUCAGAUAGCGAAAAUAACUUGCUGUCUUGCUAGAAACCAGGGCAAAAACAUAAAAACAACCAAAACAUCUCAGCCACACACAUGUUCGGAACUUUUUGGCGCUCUAUGGGACAAUCCGCGUCUCUGAUUGGAUUAAGAAUUGUUGGACCGAAAAUAAACUUCUCCUAUUGGUCGGUUUCUUUCAACCUUGGACUUUUUAGUUGCUAUUUCGUGCCACCGACACCGGUGCGGCGCUUUCGCUGCUUGUCGCUUGUCAAUGUCAACAGCAGCCACAGCAACACAGCACGCUCAAAUUUUUUCCUGCUCUUAAAAGAGCAAAUUAAAACGGUAGAACAUGGGGUGCUUCAAGAUUGUGUUGCUUUCGCUUGUGCUUGUCGUCGUUUGUUCCGUGGCUCAAGAUGAGAAGCAGCAGCGCCCAGUUGCUGCAAAGCUCAAUGGCCAAGCGUUUUUCGACGACUCGGAAAGUAUCAACAUAAAAAAACCUGCAUUUCCAGCCAAAAAAGUGAAAACAAAAGCCCCGCGAAAACCAUUGGUGUCAGCCUGGGGAAUCGUCUUCCUGAUUUUGUUUUUCAUCUUCCUCGGAUUCACAGCCUAUUACUUUUACCUCUUCUACCCAAUCUACUUCAAGAAGAAGAGGCAGUUCGAGAACAUCGAGUUGGUCAAUGUCAAAGUUUGACAAACGACAAAACCAGCCAAACUUGAUCCUAUUUUUAUAAUAUCUACCACUGCAUACAGUUAGAUCUCUAUAAUAUUUUUGACAUGUGGCAAUUUUUUGCCAAUCUCUACACACCAAGCAGUUAAACGAGACUGAUCGAUGCAUUUGAUCGUUUAAAUAAAUAUGAAAUGACUGAUUUUCAAUUCUUAAACUUGAGCGCCUGAUUUAAGUAAUAAUAUUUUAGUAUACCGGCGCUCUUUUGAGUAGUUCUUAAUAAAAUAGCACCCAAUAUAAUACACUUCGAUGAUAAUUCUAACAUUGCGAGGGAAAUUGAAUAAAUUAUAAACUAAUAUAUCAGCACAGGAAAUUAUCUAUUGUAAUUUUUAUACCCGACAAAAUAUAAAAAGUUUUGCAAGU